rnacentral:rRNA from 1 species
UACGUAGGGUGCAAGCGUUGUCCGGAAUUAUUGGGCGUAAAGAGCUCGUAGGCGAUUUGUUGCGUCGGCUGUGAAAUCCCGAGGCUCAACCUCGGGUCUGCAGUCGAUACGAGUAAACGUAGAGUGUUGCAGGGGAGACUGGAAAUUCCUGGUGUAGCGGUGAAAUGCGCAGAUAUCAGGAGGAACACCGGUGGCGAAGGCGGGUCUCUGGGCCGAUACUGACGCUGGAGGAAGCGAAAGCGUGGGUAGCAAACAGG